AACGAACGCUGGCGGCAUGCCUAACACAUGCUAGUCGAACGAGACCUUCGGGUCUAGUGGCGCACGGGUGCGUAACGCGUGGGAAUCUGCCCUUGGGUUCGGAAUAACAGUUAGAAAUGACUGCUAAUACCGGAUGAUGACUUCGGUCCAAAGAUUUAUAGCCAAAGGAUGAGCCCGCUUAGGAUUAGCUAGUUGGUAGGGUAAAGGCCUACCAAGGCGACGAACCUUAGCUGGUCUGAGAGGUUGAUCAGCCAAACUGGGACUGAGAGACAGCCCACACGCCUACUGGAGGCAGCAGUUGCGAAUAUUGGACAAUGGGCGAAAGCCUGUUCCAGCAAUGCCGCGUGAGUGAUGAAGGCCCUAGGGUUGUAAAGCUCAAUUACCCAGGAUGAUAAUGACAGUACCUGGAGAAUAAGCCCCGGCUAACUCUGUGCCAGCCGCCGCAGUAAUAC
rnacentral:rRNA from 1 species